rnacentral:rRNA from 1 species
AGCGAACGCUGGCGGCAGGCCUAACACAUGCAAGUCGAACGAACCUUUCGGGGUUAGUGGCGGACGGGGGAGUAACACGUGGGAACGUGCCUUUAGGUUCGGAAUAACUCAGGGAAACUUGUGCUAAUAACGAAUGUGCCCUUCGGGGGAAAGAUUUAUCGCCUUUAGAGCGGCCCGCGUCUGAUUAGCUAGUUGGUUGAGGUAAUGGCUCACCAAGGCGACGAGCAGUAGCUGGUCUGAGAGGAUGAUCAGCCACAUUGGGACUGAGACACGGCCCAAACUCCUACGGGAGGCAGCAGUGGGGAAUCUUGCGCAAUGGGCGAGAGGCUGACGCAGCCAUGCCGGGUGAAUGAUGAAGGUCUUAGGAUUGUAAAAUUCUUUCACCGGGGACGAUAAUGACGGUACCCGGAGAAGAAGCCCCGGCUAACUUCGUG